CGCUGGCGGUAGCUGCUGUGG
rnacentral:misc_RNA from 1 species